rnacentral:rRNA from 1 species
GACGAACGCUGGCGGCGUGCUUAACACAUGCAAGUCGAACGGAAAGGCCCUGCUUUUGUGGGGUGCUCGAGUGGCGAACGGGUGAGUAACACGUGAGUAACCUGCCCUUGACUUUGGGAUAACUUCAGGAAACUGGGUCUAAUACCGGAUAGGAGCUCCUGCUGCAUGGUGGGGGUUGGAAAGUUUCGGCGGUUGGGGAUGGACUCGCGUCUUAUCAGCUUGUUGGUGGGGUAGUGGCUUACCAAGGCUUUGACGGGUAGCCGGCCUGAGAGGGUGACCGGCCACAUUGGGACUGAGCUGCGGCCCAGACUCCUACGGGAGGCAGCAGUGGGGAAUAUUGCACAAUGGGCGGAAGCCUGGUGCAGCCACGCCGCGUGCGGGAUGACGGCCUUCGGGUUGUAAACCGCUUUCGCCUGUGACGAAGCGUGAGUGACGGUAAUGGGUAAAGAAGCACCGGCUAACUACGUG